rnacentral:lncRNA from 1 species
GGAGGUGACAGUUCAGCCAUGACACGUGGAAGACGAAAGGUCCCGGUCCAAUGUGUAGACACUAUUUCAGUUCAGUGUCAGGAUGACCAGGUCGGGUUGGAUUCUGAAGUGGUUUAUGAUGACAAAUCCUUUCCCUUACGGAGGUGCACUCCAUUUGUGGCUGGGUCAUAUCAUGGGGGAAGAGUUCCUGAGCAGAAUCAGGAUACUGCUGCUGGUCAAGUGCAGGAGUCAUUUGCUGUGGAUGGACAAAUAAGUGCAAAUGCAGGCUUCUCUACAACCGCAGAUGCUUUGGGGACUGACAGCCUAACAUUCACAGAUGGGGUGUCUCCAGGAUUCAUAGCACCUGAUGGCAUGGGAGGCAACAACAAUGAACUGAUGAACAGAGAUGAACGUGAUGAAGAGAAGCGUGUGCACCCAAAGGGAAAGAAGAAAAAAGUAAGAAGAGAGGGGAGAACAGCUUCACCAUUAAAGAGGAAAAGCAUCCAGUCAG